rnacentral:lncRNA from 1 species
UAUGUCCAAGUUCCGAAGGAGAAGAGGACCGGAUGACAAAGGUAAGUAAGAAAAUGACCUUAUUAAGUGUGAAGAUUCUAAGGCUUAUCAAUUUUAUACACCUGAAUAAUUGCAGUGUUUGGUUUCCAGAAAUGCAAUACUUAUCUUAUGGAAUUUGAAUUGAAAAGCCAUCUCUCUUUCUUUACUGACAAUCAAGCCUGAUUGAUGAAGAAGAGGAGAUUGUUGAGCUGUUAAGUACAAGUAUGCGUCAUAAGCUUUCAAUUGCAGCCGCUUACUUUAUGAGCUAUUAGGUGCUACCGCACUAUGGAUAUCAUGGCGUGUCCACGCUAUUCUCCCGGCGUUCCAUGUUGUCGCUCAGACCUCCGCUUGUUGGUUUGGUGGUUGUGUGGUAUUUAAUAGAAUUCAACAUGUUGCCGUGCCUCUGUAGCUUUUGUCUUCGCCCUUCGACUUCCGACUUCGGCUUUUAGACUAAAGUGAUUAAAACAUGCCUUGCCUUCCGUCGCUUUCGGAUAAGACUAAGUAACCUUACCAAAAACCUGACACGCUACGGCCUGACUUUGAAGCCGCAAGCUUACACGUGUAACUCCAAUUAAUCACCAAAGGAUGCUUUCAUAUUGACGUGGUUGUACAGGAAGAGCCCCAAGCCCUACAGACAGGAAGGAGAGGGAGAGGAAAGUAAUAAGAAGUCUAAGUCUGAGAGCCCCCCUAAGCCCCAAAGAAAGGGGGAACUCCUAAAAGACACAAAAGAUGUCCGGUUGUUGGUAUCU